CUGCUUACCAUGCAGUCGAGCGAUGAAAUCCCUUCGGGGAUGGAUUAGCGGCGGACGGGUGAGUAACACGUGGGUAACCUGCCUCAAAGAGGGGGAUAGCCUCCCGAAAGGGAGAUUAAUACCGCAUAACAUUGGUUUUUCGCAUGGAGAACUAAUUAAAGGAGUAAUCCGCUUUGAGAUGGACCCGCGGCGCAUUAGCUAGUUGGUGAGGUAACGGCUCACCAAGGCGACGAUGCGUAGCCGGCCUGAGAGGGCGAACGGCCACAUUGGAACUGAGAGACGGCCCAGACUCCUACGGGAGGCAGCAGUGGGGAAUAUUGCACAAUGGGGGAAACCCUGAUGCAGCAACGCCGCGUGAGAGAAGAAGGCCUUCGGGUUGUAAAUCUCUGUCAUUGGGGACGAUAAUGACGGUACCCAAGGAGGAAGCCACGGCUAACUACGUGCCAGCAGCCGCGGUAAUACGUAGGUGGCGAGCGUUGUCCGGAAUUACUGGGCGUAAAGGAUGCGUAGGCGGAUUUUUAAGUGAGAUGUGAAAUUCCCGGGCUUAACUUGGGAGCUGCAUUUCAAACUGGAAGUCUAGAGUGCGGGAGAGGAAAGUGGAAUUCCUAGUGUAGCGGUGAAAUGCGUAGAGAUUAGGAAGAACACCAGUGGCGAAGGCGACUUUCUGGACCGUAACUGACGCUGAGGCAUGAAAGCGUGGGUAGCAAACAGGAUUAGAUACCCUGGUAGUCCACGCCGUAAACGAUGAGUACUAGGUGUAGG
rnacentral:rRNA from 1 species